rnacentral:rRNA from 1 species
AGCGCAGGCGGUGCGGCAAGUCUGAUGCGAAAGCCCGGGGCUCAACCCCGGUACUGCAUUGGAAACUGUCGUACUAGAGUGUCGGAGGGGUAAGCGGAAUUCCUAGUGUAGCGGUGAAAUGCGUAGAUAUUAGGAGGAACACCAGUGGCGAAGGCGGCUUACUGGACGAUAACUGACGCUGAGGCUCGAAAGCGUGGGAGCAAACA